UACAGAGGGUGCGAGCGUUAAUCGGAAUUACUGGGCGUAAAGCGUGCGUAGACGGCUAUCUAAGUCGGGUGUGAAAGCCCCGGGCUCAACCUGGGAAUUGCAUUCGAGACUGAAUAGCUAGGGUGCGGUAGAGGGAAGCGGAAUUUCCGGUGUAGCGGUGAAAUGCGUAGAUAUCGGAAGGAACAUCAGUGGCGAAAGCGGCUUCCUGGACCAGCACCGACGUUCAGGCACGAAAGCGUGGGGAGCAAACCAGGA
rnacentral:rRNA from 1 species